CAGCUUCAGCAAGAUGAUUUUUUUUUUAGAUAUCCUCCAAGCAUUAGAUGUGAAAAAGCAUAUGAAAGUGGAAAUACUCUGCGAGGAGCCCAGCAAAAUACUUAAAGUGAUCUGAACCAAGAUCUGCUGGAUUCUGCAUUCAUGAGGACUGAGAGCUACGACCUCAUUCAGCAUUCCACAAACCUGUGACAAGUGGUGAGGAGAAACAGAGCACAACAGGCCUGGUAACAUAAAGUUUGGUUCAAGGAGAUACAGAUGGAUAUCCUGAUUGAUGAAGCGUUGCUAAAUCUCCCUCCGCACUGGAAGUAAAUCCUGGAGCAGCAACAGGAUCCAGCAGCAAGUCCCCCAAUAGUGAGCCCUGGAGCAGCGCAUGGGCUGCAAGCCCCAGAUCAGUGUGAGCAGC